rnacentral:lncRNA from 1 species
AACACUAUUCUCAACACCGGUAUUGCUAUGCUUUCCCCUUAGCUUAAUUCUUGGGGUCGGCCGUUUCAUAGCCUCGAACUCUGAAACAGCCCUAUCUUUGCCAGGAUGCAGUGGCAUAAGGUUCCUCCGCUGACCACUGUUCAUUCCUCCGCUUCGCCUUCAGAUGUUGAAUUGGCCCGGGGAUACAAUAUUUGAUAUUGUUGGUACAUGGAUGCUACAGUUAUCAAGACAGCAAAUAUAUGUGCUCACCAUCAACAUGUAUAAUUCAGCAGCAUUUAUUGUUUAUUUUCCACAAUAUAUUGCAAUAUCUUUUACUAACACUGGGAACUGCUUUUAACUACUUCAGAUGCUUAAAGAAUUUUAUGUCUAGAGGGUGGUUUUCAUCUACAUCUAUCAUUUUCAUUUCUGCUGGUGGAUCCUAUUUUGGAAAGUUGGCUGUUUUGGUUAAUAGGUUGAAGGUGAUUUGCUGUAUAACUUUUCUGUGUUGGGAAUUGUAUUCAGUUACUCUUCUUUUGUACGUUGCAAUACAGAUGAUGUAUCUUUUGUUCACAGGUUGGUUUUUUGUACAGAUACCAACCUGUUUUUGUCUCUAU